UACGUAGGGUGCAAGCGUUAAUCGGAAUUACUGGGCGUAAAGCGUGCGCAGGCGGUUGUGCAAGACAGAUGUGAAAUCCCCCGGGCUUAACCUGGGAAUUGCAUUUGUGACUGCACGGCUAGAGUGUGUCAGAGGGGGGUAGAAUUCCACGUGUAGCAGUGAAAUGCGUAGAUAUGUGGAGGAAUACCGAUGGCGAAGGCAGCCCCCUGGGAUAACACUGACGCUCAUGCACGAAAGCGUGGGAGCAAACAGG
rnacentral:rRNA from 1 species